rnacentral:lncRNA from 1 species
CGAACCGUCUCUUCUUUGGGAGGUAAUGUAGAUGGAACUUAUUAAUCAAUUCUUCAGAAACCGGAAAAGAAGAAGCAAUACAAGGAGAACUUGUAGUUCGGUUAGUUGAAACACUCCUCGCAUUUUCUUGCUCUCGUUCUUUAUUUUCACUCACUUCUUUUUCGAACUCACUUUCUUUUUAAAAAAAAACUCAUUUCUUAAUCAUUUUUCUUUCUUU